GGAGAUGUACCCAAGUGGCUGAAGGGUCCGCACUCGAAAUGCGGUAGGUCGGGCAACCGGCGCGAGGGUUCAAAUCCCUCCAUCUCCGCUA
rnacentral:tRNA from 3 species